rnacentral:lncRNA from 1 species
AUUUACUAAAAUACACAUAAGACAACCUUAAAGUUAUAGUAUGAAUGAGGAAUACAACAUAGAUCAAAAAAUUUCCACUUUCUUACAGAAAAAUAUAACCUAACAAUGAAACACCAUUUUUUUACUUCCCAGAAAAAAAUGGCAUGGUUUGUUAAGUGAAUUUUGAAUGAGGCCUAAAAAUAUUUACCUAUGCCACCUAUUUUGAAAUUUUUAUCCAUAAUUUCAUAGUGUUGAAAUUAUGGAUAAAAUGUUUCAUAUUGUUGAAAUGCUAUGAAACACAUAGUGUUCCGGUUGUAUCAUCACUAAAAAAAUGUUUAGCCCCUAAAGCAGUAUUUACAGUAAAUUUGGUAUGAAUGUCAAAAGAAAAAAAUUGUUUUAAAAAAUGGUGCAAAAGCAUUUUGAUUUUAGCACAACAUAUCGCAGAAAAGAAUAUGAAUACAAGUUUGCAAUUUUAUGUAUACCUCCAAAGAGACUGUCACUGACCACAGUAUUUAUAUUGCUAUAUUAGCAAUGAGGAUUUUUGGGUAUGUUUUUAAGGGCCACAUAAAAAUAGGUUCAAGGAACAGAUUAAGUUGAAGUCCUAGAUUAAAAUGUUUGGUUUAAAGAAUUUUCUACAACAAAUUUCAUGUUUAUGUAUGAAAAGUUAUAUAACCUUAUAUGAAAAUGUCAUUAUUUUCUACACUAUACUAAAUGUACUUCCUAAGAGGAGAAAAAAUUAAUAUCUAAAAUAAAUUAAGAAAAAAAAAUAAAAUAAAUUAAGAUUACAAGACUAUCAGCCAUCCUUUGAACUCAUCUAUUUACACAAAGUAUACACAUUUGUUUCAUUAUUAACCGUAAAGAAAUGAGGUGGUGACAACUACCUUUUGCACAUCAUCAACUCACUUUCGCCACAAGUGUGUCUUUGGUGUGAGUGUAUAAGACCUAGGUUUGCCCACCCCUCAUCACAUCACCUGCAGGUUUAUUAAGAAGAUGAAGGUGUAUUUUUCUUUCUUUCAAACAACAUCCCGAGCAGACCGUAAGUAGCCUGAAAUGAUAAAAUACUUAACUGGGCCUUUAGCUAUGGACACAGAUUGCUAAAAUGUAAGUUAUUUGCCCAAAUUAUCACAUCAAAUAACAAAGUCAGCCAUAAAGCAGGCUGAAAAGCAUGAAGCAUUUCACGUAAGUGCGUCUUUCAAUCCUUGAAUUUCUGCAGAAACAUUGUAACCACCAUAUAACGUGAGAGGGAUACACAGAAUCCAGAGGUUGCAGCUGCAGGUCGAUGCUUCACAGGUGUCUCUGUCUGUGAACGUCUCCCCUGCGCAGCAGGCUCGUGGAAGACCACACAGUCAAUUUUCCUUUUUUUUUUUUUCUUUUUUUUUUUUUUUCAAAGCCAUUUUCUAUUAUCAAAAGUAGGUGUGUUGGAACCUGGGAGUCUGGGCAUCUAAGACAGGGCCUAGCAAACUCCAAUUCCUUCUCUUUUCAUUUAGGACAGACCUAACCUCUG